rfam:Capnocytophaga sp. oral taxon 338 str. F0234 genomic scaffold SCAFFOLD1, whole genome shotgun sequence.
AAAGCGGAAACCGAAAAGCUAAUAGAGUAGGUG